AGUGAACGCUGGCGGUAGGCCUAACACAUGCAAGUCGAACGGCAGCACAGUAAGAGCUUGCUCUUACGGGUGGCGAGUGGCGGACGGGUGAGGAAUACAUCGGAAUCUACUUUUUCGUGGGGGAUAACGUAGGGAAACUUACGCUAAUACCGCAUACGACCUACGGGUGAAAGCAGGGGAUCUUCGGACCUUGCGCGAUUGAAUGAGCCGAUGUCGGAUUAGCUAGUUGGCGGGGUAAGGUCCCACCAAGGCGACGAUCCGUAGCUGGUCUGAGAGGAUGAUCAGCCACACUGGAACUGAGACACGGUCCAGACUCCUACGGGAGGCAGCAGUGGGGAAUAUUGGACAAUGGGCGCAAGCCUGAUCCAGCCAUACCGCGUGGGUGAAGAAGGCCUUCGGGUUGUAAAGCCCUUUUGUUGGGAAAGAAAAGCAGCAGGUUAAUACCCCGCUGUUCUGACGGUACCCAAAGAAUAAGCACCGGCUAACUUCGUG
rnacentral:rRNA from 1 species